rnacentral:rRNA from 1 species
ACAACGGAUCUCUUGGUUCUGGCAUCGAUGAAGAACGCAGCGAAAUGCGAUAAGUAGUGUGAAUUGCAGAAUUCAGUGAAUCAUCGAAUCUUUGAACGCACAUUGCGCCCUUUGGUAUUCCAAAGGGCAUGCCUGUUCGAGCGUCAUUUGUACCCUC